rnacentral:lncRNA from 1 species
CCUUGCACACAGAAAAACACACAAUGCAUUACACACACACACACACACACACGCAAUGCAACCCUUACACACAAUGCAUCCCUUACACACACAGAAACACACAAUGCAUUCCUUAUACACACUCAAUGCACCCCUUAAACACACUCAAAGCACCCCUUACAGACUCACACACUUCAUCCCUUACAUACACAGAAACACACCUUGCAGCCCUUACACAUACAGACACAGAUUCACACAAUGCAUUCCUUACACACAAAUCAGGACAUCCCCUACACACUCCACCCCCUGUGAACAAACUCAUUGGUGGAACAUGAAGGUGGACCCUGGGACCCAGACCUUGAGCUGUGUAAAGGGCCCCCAAAAAAUGGAGCUGCUUCUCGUUCUCCCAGAACAUUGAUUUUUGUGACCACAGUUACAAACAGCCUCCACAGAUCCUGUUAUACACCAGACCAGUGGAGCCAGACUGCAGCUAGAGGCCAUCAUCAUCCUCAUCUGCUUGUAAGUAGGUAAUCUAGUAUAUUAUUCGUG